UUGAAGGUUUAAAUCAAAUAAGGUCACAACGUGUAACUUUAAAUUUUUCAAUGUUGUUUCAAUACAUAUCGACACCUGGAUGUCUUCUUACUUUUUACUUGAAGUUAUUGUUUGGAACAGACUGAUGGAUAAAGUUUUGAGAAGACACUUAGAUUAUCUCUUAUAAAUAAAUCCUAAUCCUUUCAUGGGAAGAGAAUGGAGUGGGGGAAAAAAAAUACGAACAGAGCUGAGACGAUUAAAUCUUGCUGCGGCUGUAUGAGCGUCUCCAUGGGGACCUCCAGCUCCUGCGUUUGGCCAGAGAGAUAUCUGGCAGCAUCACAGCCAACGAGGCCUCCAGGUCCCAUGGGUUUCCACACACAGCGUGCUCCGUGGAGCAGUAGUAGGAACACUGGCCAAAGAAACACACGUUGCCCACUAGAGAGAGAAAGAGGUGCACAGACAAGAAAAAUUGAGGACAGUGAUGAAGAGGAGAUUGCAAUAUAAGUGGAAAAAGUGAAAAAACGGUAUUAAAAGGACUCAUAGACGCACGCAUGGUUGGAGCAAGUAUGAUUAUUCACAUGUUUAGAUUCAGAACUUCAAAGGCCUUGCAAGAGAACGCAUGAAUAAUUGAGGAGUGUGUACCAGGGGAAUUAAAGAAGGUUUUUGCCAAUUUGCGGUCAGUUGUGACAUCUUUGAUCUCCUUUACCACAUCCACCAGCCUCCCAACUGCAGGAGGGAUUCUCCUGUAACCUAAGAUCCUGCAAGUAGAUGAAGGGAGAUGAGAAAAAAAGACAAGUACAGAAAGAAAAGACAUAACAAGACAGAAAAGGAAGG